AAGAAUGAUCCUAUGCAGAUUUUUACAGAUUGAUACAUUAUUAAAUCAGAUAGCACAGCAGUUUUCUCUAGGUUUUGAGUAAUAUACUGCCUCUUUCCUUUCUGUGCUUCUGCUGAAGAAGAACUGUGAAUUAGAACAGUUCAAAAUUCAUGUGAUGUAAUUGAAUUCUCUUCUAUUAAUAAAAAAAGGACCAUUGAGAAGAUUGAGAUCAGAGUUAGAAGAAAACAUGGCGAUAAGCGACGAGAAAUGGGAGGAUUUACCAACUUAUAAUGAAGUUGUAUUGGGGAUGUAUAAAUUUUGUAUAAAAAAUAUCGAAGAUA